CAUGGGGSUGCUAUAAUGCAGUCGAACGAACUCUGGUAUUGAUUGGUGCUUGCAUCAUGAUUUACAUUUGAGUGAGUGGCGAACUGGUGAGUAACACGUGGGAAACCUGCCCAGAAGCGGGGGAUAACACCUGGAAACAGAUGCUAAUACCGCAUAACAACUUGGACCGCAUGGUCCGAUCUUGAAACAUGGCUUCGGCUAUCACUUUUCGAUGGUCGCCGCGUUUAGCUAGCGUGCGGUACGCUCACAUGCAUGUACGUAGCGACUGAAGGGUAUGCCCAUUGAUAGAACGCCAAAUCUACGGAGCAGCGUAGGGAUCUUCCCAUGACGAGUCUGAUGAGCACGCCGCUGAAUGAGAAGGGUUCGCUCGUAAACUCUGUGUUAAGAAGAACAAUCUGAGAGUACUGUUCAGUNUGACGGUAUUACCAGAAAGCCACGCUACUACGUGCCAGCAGCCGCGGUAAUACGUAGGUGGCAAGCGUUGUCCGGAUUUAUUGGCGUAAGCGAGCGCAGGCGGUUUUUUAAGUCUGAUGUGAAAGCCUUCGGCUCACCGAGAAGUGCAUCGGAACUGGGAAACUUGAGUGCAGAAGAGGACAGUGGAACUCCAUGUGUAGCGUGAAAUGCGUAGAUAUAUGGAAGAACACCAGUGGCGAAGGCGGCUGUCUGGUCUGUAACUGACGCUGAGGCUCGAAAGUAUGGGUAGCAAACAGGAUUAGAUACCCUGGUAGUCCAUACCGUAAACGAUGAAUGCUAAGUGUUGGAGGGUUUCCGCCCUUCAGUGCUGCAGCUAACGCAUUAAGCAUUCCGCCUGGGGAGUACGGCCGCAAGGCUGAAACUCAAAGGAAUUGACGGGGGCCCGCACAAGCGGUGGAGCAUGUGGUUUAAUUCGAAGCUACGCGAAGAACCUUACCAGGUCUUGACAUACUAUGCAAAUCUAAGAGAUUAGACGUUCCCUUCGGGGACAUGGAUACAGGUGGUGCAUGGUUGUCGUCAGCUCGUGUCGUGAGAUGUUGGGUUAAGUCCCGCACGAGCGCAACCCUUAUUAUCAGUUGCCAGCAUAGGUCGGCACUCUGGUGAGACUGCCGGUGACAACGAGAGGUGGGAUGACGUCAUCAUCAUGCCCUAUGACCUGGGCUACACACGUGCUACAUGAAUGGUACACGNUGCGACUCGCGAGAGUAAGCUAAUCNCUGAAAGCCAUCCUCAGGUCGGAUUGUAGGCUGCAACUCGCCUACAUGAAGUCGGAAUCGCUAGUAAUCGCGGAUCAGCAUGCCGCGGUGAAUACGUUCCCGGGCCUUGUACACACCGCCCGUCACACCAUGAGAGUUUGUAACACCCAAAGUCGGUGGGGUAACCUUUAGGAACCAGCCGCCUAAGGUGACAGGUG
rnacentral:rRNA from 1 species